GGUACCGGACAAUCCCCGGAUAUCGCGCAUGCGCUCAGCGGACACAGGCUCCGGGGAAUCGGCGGCAGAUUGGAAAUGGCAAGGAAUUUGUGAACAAGAAUCCCAACACAAGAACACGUCAGCGUGCUGUCUCUGCCCAGAUAGUUCCUGUGUAACACUGAUAUGUCUGUUGUUGAUCCCUGGAGAUGAAGGUGUAUCUCAUCCCAGCUGGAAACGUGCUAAGUGUCUGAAAAGACAUUCUCUGUUGUAAUUCAGUGAAAUCUACUGGAACUGGGUACUGAGAGCACACCAGCAUUUGUGCAUUAGAGGGAAGCUCUUCAACUGCAAUGAUUGUGCGAGGGAUUCACUAUGUCUGACAUCUGACUUGAGACAUUGUCAGACAGUUGAGAGAGAACUGUGGGAAAGGAUUCACUCACUCAUCCCACCUGCAGAAACAGCAGCGAGUUCACUCUGAGGAGAGGCCAUUCACUUGCUUAUACUGUGGGAAGGGAUUUGCUCGAUCAUCUCAACUGAAGUUUCUCCUUGCUGGUGACACAUGGUAACUGAACUUCUUUCAGGCUCAGGCUGAACUACAGAGGACAGGGAGGAGGUCUGGCCCCAGCAUACACAGCACGUAGGACACGCCCUGGUGCUCAUGAACUAGAUCCCCAGCUGGUGGUUAAUAGCCCCAAUGCCUUAUAGGCAGCCUCAGGAGAGGUGAAGGCUACGGGAGUAAACCCAGACAGCAGAUCCGGAGUGGAGCCCCUGAGGCAGCUGGACGUCAUUGAACAUCCUUCCGGCAGCUCCUGCAGCCAAGCUGGUGCCAAACGUAUUGCUUCAUAAGCUUUCCUUUGGACUAUACUGGUAAAGCUGAGAGGGGGAUCUUGAUGACUAGGCAUCUCAGGAUUUCCAUACCUUCCACCCAGACUUGUGAUGAUACUGUCAUUCAUUUUUUUCUCUAUUUUCAUGUAGUGCAUUGUAUUGCUGCCGCAAAGUUAACAAAUUUCACAACGUAUGCCAGUGAUGUUAAACCUGAUUCUGAUUAAAUUGGAGGCUGAUUUUGCUGAGUUAUGCACAAUACAACAGAUACUGAGGGAUAGACACGCCUUGGUGGAACAGACAGAAUGGCUUCGUAGAGACCAGGAAGAAAACAUGGAACAGCUUUGAAGAAACCAAAAAGGUAUGGAAAAUUAGCUUUGGAGAAAAAUGGAACAGCUUAAGUUGCAGGAGAAAAUUGCAGGCAAGAUGGCCAAAGUUAAAGUGCAAAGGCUUCAAGUGCUGUGAGUGUUAAACAUGCUCCAGUGGAGCAAUUCUUCAAUGUUGAUGUAUAACAGAGAAAAUCCAAUGGCAGGGCUUUUAAGGAACAAAUGUGUAUGAGUCAUGAGUUAGAACCCCAAGGGGCAGUUCACUCUCAGCCUGCACCAAGGAGGUACUCUGAACCUUUGCCAUGUCCAGUAACACAAGGUGCUUCUGAGAAUAUUGAUUUUCAGUAUGAAGACACUCGUGUUUCAGGUAAUAAAGGUCUAAAUGCCACGCUUGAGGCCAUGAGAACACAAAAGGAAAUAACAAGCAUAGUGAUACAAGAAGAACAGAUGGCAUCUCUGCCUAAAAGAAAGAUUUAAAUUGUCAAUGGCAAUCCAUUUAUGAAGAUCUUCAUUUCAAAUGAAUUCAAUUUAUUUUUGAAUGCAAGACUGAUAAUUAUGGUGACCAUCUUUAUUUUCUCAAACUGUUCACUGAAAGAUACCUUAGAGAGCUUGACAAACAUUGCCAGUGGGCCAGCCCGGAGCAAAGAUCUCUAAAGGCCCAAGCUUUACUACAGGAACAUUUUGGUGUAGAGCACAGAAUUGCUGCGGUCUACAUGGAAAAGCCUCUUUCUAGGCCACAUGUUAAAUCAGAAGCUGUAGAAGUUCUUCAAGACCACAGCCUUUUUCUUAGAAGUUGUUCCAGUGCCAUGGGAGAUGUGCAGGAUCUGCCUGCUAAUAUAAGGAUUGUUGUAAAUAAAUCCCCCAGUGAAGUCUGGACAAAUGGAGAUCUACAGUUUGUAAACUGCAAGAAAGGCACAACCAUAAGGUUACUGUCACUGACAUUGUGGAUUUUAUUGAAAGGCAAGUAAGGAUUGCUACACACCCAGUAUUUGGAAAAAGAUACAAAGCUACAUCACCGACAGUAAGUGAAGGUGUGCACAGAACUGGAUCACUAAUUCAUUCUCAAGCUAAAGGAAGCUGUUUUGCCACUUCUGUGGCUACUGUGGAACGUGAAGCUGAAACUGAGCCUGGAGCUGAUGUAGAUUCGUUAUAAACCAUGAAUGAAGCAAACACAGCAGCGAGUACCGCCCUGGUAUCUACUGGCCUUAGAGAGGCUGGUGAUCAUGAUUGUAAACUUCCAGUUCAGGUGAAGUCUAAGAAGAGUAACAAGACAAUGGUUACUUAUGCUUUUCUAGAUCAAGGAAAUACAGCAGUGUUCUGCACAGUGAGCCUCAUGAACAAGCUCAACCUGACAGGAAAAGGAACACCCAUUCAUUCUCUUAUGCACCGUGGGCCAAGAGAAAGUUGUAAAUAGCUACUUUAUUUCAGGAUUGGAAGUGGCUGACUCAGACAGGGAAAACUAUUGUGACCUGCCUAACACCUAUGCCUUCCUACAAGGGUACUACUCCUCGUCAGAGCAAUCUUCAGGAAUGGUCUCACCUGAAGCAUGUUUAUUUACUGAAAUUGAGCUGCUGAUCAGGGUAACUGUAUGUAAGGCAUUGGAACCAUUGCAAGUAAUUUGCAGUGUUAAUGUUGGACUCUACACAACCAGAAAAAUGCUGAGUUGGACCACUGAAAAGAGACCACAGUGGUGGAAAAGACUAUGCACAGCCAGAGCUGACAGUUAAUGGGGCUUUAGUGUUGCACUUAAAUGAGUGUUGGCAACAGAGAUUCAAGACAGAUUUUCCUGAAUGCAGUGAGGCGGGACCACCUGGUUUCAGAGGAGAUCUCAGUCCAGGAGAGAAUGCUUACCGAAAGAGGACAUCUGUGUAAAUGUUGAGAUUUCAUGUUUCCUGUACCUUAGUAGCAUGUAAUUGUAAUUAUUACAGUAUAAUAAUUAAGGGGCUGGAAUGUAGGAUCCAUGAAUCUAUUCUCUAUUUGCUUUCUGUUCUGUAUUCCGCAUUCAUUACUUUCCUUAUGGUAACCACUCACACGAAUGGGGGUGUGGUAAAAGCAAAGAGAAGUUAUGUAUUCUUGCUUAUUUUGUGACACUUUGUAGCCUGGGACUAGCGAAGGUCAUCUCUUUUGCUGACCACCGAAUAAUGCUGAGAGAAUGCUCAGCUUUGCUUAAUUGUAUAUUUGCUAAUGCUAAUAAAGGAUACACUUGAUGUUUGGAGCAAUCAUUGGAGCCAUGGGCACAUCAUGGAAGUGUUACAAGUCUGUACGGUCACAGGCAAGCAGCAAUUGUUUUGUUUGGAUUUUGAAUUAGUUUUGCCACUUAGUGACCACAGUAAGUAAUCCUUGGUUUAAAGAAUUCACUCUUGUUGUAUCAUACUGAGCCCAUGAUCUUCUAAUCAUUUUAACACUGUCUUGAAAUUUUGAAGAUGUUCCUUGCCAUCCUUCCUGAUAACAAUGGUGUCAUUCAGUUAACACAGUGCCUGGGCAUCCUUGCAGCACGUGGUCCAUAGCCUUCUGCCAGAGUGCAGGAGCAGAUGUUAUUCCAAAAACAAGCUUAUUAUAGCGAUAAAGCCUUUUUUGUUUUUUAUGGUGAGAAACACUUUGGAAUCAUCAAUUUGCAGGUUGGCCUCAGCUAAUUCCACUUUGCUGAAGUAUUUUCCUCCAGAAGGGUUUGCAAAGAUAUCCUCUAUCCUGGGUGGAGGACAUUGAUCUACUUUCAGUACAGGGUUUAUGGUGACACAGAUCCUGACAGACCCAUGCUUCUUGGCUACCGGGACCACUGGUGUUGCUCAUGGCUCCACUCAACCUUGGAAUGAAUUCCUUCAGUCUCCAUGUAAUCCAGCUCACUGGCUACUUUAUCAUGGAUGGUAUAAGGAACUGGACAGGCUUUUAAAAACUUGGUGUGGCAUUUUUUAUUUAACACUGUUUUACACUUGAUAUGUUUGAGUUUUCUAAUGCCAUCCCUGUACAGUGCUGUGGCAUUAUCCAUUACCUUUAUUGACACUUCCAGUUGACUCUUCCACAGGGAAUGUGGUAUGCAACUGGUGGAUGAAACUCCAAUCCAGUUUAGUUGUCUCAGACAAUCAUGGCCCCACAAUGCUGGCCCUCUUUUUGGUUGUUGUUACGAAUGUCUUUCCUGCUGGAGUUAUCUUUUCUCUUAGUCGGAUAUCUGCAGAAUUCAGAUCAGUAUCUUUGAAACUCCAUUCAAGCUCAUUUUGUGGAAUUACUGGAACAACUGAGCCAGUGUCCAAUUUCAUUUUAAUUACCAUGCCACUUCUCUGUUGUCCCACAUACAGCACGUGGAUCAACGCAUUCCACCUGCCCCUCCUGAAGAAGAGUACUCCAAAGCAGAAAAAAACUAAUUUAUUAAUAUUGCAGUAAUAUUGUAUGUGUGUGUAUAUAUAGUUUGAUUAAGCAUUCUUUGUUCAAAUAAUUUAUUCUUUCCACAAUUUAGUUUUUAUGUUUUGGAUUACAAAACACAACAGAGGCAAUGAAGAAGUUUUAAGUGGACCUGAACCGACUACUGACCAAGAAACGGUAGGAGUGUUGGGCAAGAGGGUAACCCAGAGAUGGAUAGAGGGUGGGGUUAAGGGGAGAAGCUUAGAAAAGAGCUGCAUACAGAGCAGAUGCAGAAGUGCAAAAACUAGGGAUAGGUGGGGGUGGGCAUUGUGAAGGGAGAGGGCUAAACCAGAACAGGCUGAGGGGGAUGGGGAAGGGGUGACCCAGAGAGGAGUGAGCAGUGAUUUGGAAGAGGUAGGGGUGACUCAGUGAUGGAAGUUGUGGGGUUGUGAGAAGGAGGUGAUCUAAGAGAUGAAGGUGGUGAGGAAGGGAUUGGGUAGUCCCAGAAUGAGUGGAGGAAUGGGUCAACCAAUAACCACAGGAAAACAGAAGGGAGUGUCCUAGUGAAGUGAAGGGGUAAGCUCAUCAAGGAGAAUGGGGGCAGCCCAGAGGUGCAGGAAAGAGGAGUGACUGAGAGAAGGGGUAGAGGAGAGGAUUGGGGAGCAACACAAAGACUGGUGAGAGGGAUAACCUGAAAAACUGGGGGUUAGAGGGAGAUCCUGAGACGGAGAGGGGGUGCUGAUUAGGGGAGAAACGUCAGGUUUAUUGCCCUCCAUUGAUGCUCCCUGACUUGCUGAGUUCCUUCAACACUUUGUGUAUGUGUGUGUAACUCAAGUCAAUUUAAAACAGAAUUGAUUUAAAGAACAUGAUUUAAACUAGAAGUGAUUUAUUUGUAACAGAUUCCCAAUAAUUAAUUCCUUUCCAGCUGAAGGCUAAUGUGAUCAGAACAAACCCCUCCCGUGCCCAGUGACCAGGGUUCAGUUCCAGGUGUGAUGAACAGCAGAAUCUGACACCAACAGUCACUCUUCAACUUGCAGCUGGAUUCACCAAACAUAAUGGUUAAAAGUUCAACACAGAGUUAAUUAAACUGUCCCUCCUGUGUGAACUUGGUGAUUUGUCAGCAGGUGGGAUGAUCAAAUGAAACUUCCUCCUCAUACAGGACAGGUAUGUGUGAACUCUCCCCGGUUUGAACUCACUGGUGUGUCUGCAGUUGGGAUGAGCAAGGAAACUCUCUCACACAAAAAGAGCAGUUGUAAGGACUCCUCCCAGUGUGAACACUCUGAUGCGCCUGUAGUUCAGUGUCUGAAUGAAUUCCGCCCCACACACAGAGCAGGUGAACAGUCUCUCCUCAGUGUGAAAGCAAGGGACCCUCCCAUGGCUGCUGUGGCAUGCCAAGGUUUAAGAUAAUCUGGAGUUGGACAGAGCAAGGUUCCUGGAAGAGUAGCUCCUCUUUAUACAACAUGGACACCAAGGACAUGAGCAGACCAAGAGAAGUUAAAGAUCGCAGUGAAGGAGUGAGAAACACACAAUUUCAAAUGGACAAUAACUAACUAGAAAUAACAUAUAACACUGGACAGCAAAUCUUUUCAAAAGUGCUGCUUACUCAGAAUUAUUGUGUGGUUACAACAUAUUGCUUGAAGCUGAACACAAAUAUAAUUUCGUGUAGGAAGUCAGAGAAACAAUAAAUUAACUUUUAUUGAAUAUAACAUAUUUAAUUGCAUAAUAGUGCUGACAC